AUUGAACGCUGGCGGCAUGCUUUACACAUGCAAGUCGGACGGCAGCACAGAGAAGCUUGCUUCUUGGGUGGCGAGUGGCGAACGGGUGAGUAAUAUAUCGGAACGUACCGAGUAAUGGGGGAUAACUAAUCGAAAGAUUAGCUAAUACCGCAUAUUCUCUGAGGAGGAAAGCAGGGGACCUUCGGGCCUUGCGUUAUUCGAGCGGCCGAUAUCUGAUUAGCUAGUUGGUGGGGUAAAGGCCUACCAAGGCGACGAUCAGUAGCGGGUCUGAGAGGAUGAUCCGCCACACUGGGACUGAGACACGGCCCAGACUCCUACGGGAGGCAGCAGUGGGGAAUUUUGGACAAUGGGCGCAAGCCUGAUCCAGCCAUGCCGCGUGUCUGAAGAAGGCCUUCGGGUUGUAAAGGACUUUUGUCAGGGAAGAAAAGGCUGUUGCUAAUAUCGACAGCUGAUGGCGGUACCUGAAGAAUAAGCACCGGCUAACUACGUG
rnacentral:rRNA from 1 species